UCAACUUGAAGUCCUGAUUUCUUACUAUAACUGAUUACGCUGAAGACACGUUCACAUCAUUUUACACAAUAUGAGAGAGUCCAGGGAGUGCGUUUCGACUGUCGACACAUACUUUUAAGAAACCAAGAGGAAGUUUGCCUUUCCGGAAAACUUUAGGACUGUGUUUGAUUUGAAGUUGCUGGAUUUAAAGGGAGGUGAUAAUGAUGUCUGAUGCCAGUGAAAUGUUGGCAGCUGCGCUGGAGCAGAUGGAUGGCAUAAUUGCAGGUUCUAAGGCCAUGGGCUACACCAACGGCCUGUUUGAUUGUCAGUCGCCCACUUCGCCCUUCCUGGGCAGCCUUCGGGUGCUGCACCUUUUGGAGGACAUGCGAGCUGCGCUGGACCUGAUGGAUCCAGAGGAAAAAGAGAGCCUGCGGAUGCAAGUGUCUGAAACCACAGCUGAGGGUCUGAUGGAGUGGCUGCAAGGCCGACUUACUAAUGGCCAUGGGACCGCAGCUGGGGAUUCUGUCUAUCAGGAGCGUCUCACCCGCUUGGAAAGCGACAAAGAAUGUCUAGUACUGCAGGUGAGUGUUCUGACUGAUCAAGUGGACGUUCAGGCAGAAAAAAUAAGAGACCUGGACACGAACCUCGAGGAGCACCGUAUGAAGCUUAAUGCCACUGAAGAAUUACUACAGCAGGAGCUGCUUACCAGGAGUGCUUUAGAGACUGAAAAACUGGAAUUGCUGACAGAGAUAUCGAGUCUGAAACUAAAGCUGGCUGCUGCAGAAGGAGAUCGUAGAGAAAGCGCGGGUCUUUAUCAGGAGGUCACCGACAUGCGCCUUGUGUUGACUAACAUGGAAUGUGAUAGACAAGAGUAUGAGAGAAAUCUUCACUGUACCAAAGAGGAGCUAAAGGCAUUACAGAAGCAGCUGGAGGAGAGAGAUCAGGCUCUUAGCAAACUGCAGGGCGAAACCCACCUGGAGACCACCACCGCACAAAAGUCACAAGGUGCAGAGAAAGACACAGAAAUCCAGCGAAUGAGGAAUACUGUUGAUUCUUUAAACGCAUCUAAUGAUGAAAAGGAUCUUAAAAUAAAAGCGCUGCACACGCAGCUGAUGCGUUACAAGAGUGUUCAGGAUACGGUGACGUCAGUGCAGGUAUCAAAGGACAAAAGCAGAGAAGAGGACACACGAGGGUGGCUGCAUGAAGGGAUAACUAAAGAUCCUGAGACGGAGGUUGCAGAGGAUACGGAUGAACCUCAGCUCAUUCCAUGUACAGAACUCCUUCCUGAAGCUGACAUCUCCACGGUGACCGCACCCAAACCUGCAACUGAGAGCACGCUAGGACCCCAUGCACAAAGAGCUACAGAAAGUGUCUCUCAAAUUCAGCAGACAGAGAGGCCUUGUGCAGCGAGCAGUAACGAGGAUGGAGCCAGUAAAAAUGGGGGCUCGCCAUGCGUCUCCCCCACUCAAUCCAGCUCGGAGGGCAAUGACAGUUUUGGCUCCAAAAGAACUCGUUCCUCUUUCGGACGUGGUUUCUUUAAGAUGAGAGGCCACAAGAUGACAAGCAGCGCACCAAACUUGGAUGAAGGACAGCGGAAGGGAGCAGAGCACUUGGACUUGGCUGGAGUAUCCCCUCAGAAGACACAAGCAUUGGAUACGCAUUCGCCUGAAGGGAAGAAGAAAUCCAAAGGGAUCAUGAAGUUUUUUGGAAGGAGGAAGAGAAGUCAGUCAAGCUCGGACGAUCUAGAUGAAUCUCCUAAUGCAGAGUUUAAGAGAGGUGGAGUCCGAGCUACAGCGGGUCCCAGACUGGGCUGGUCACAUGAUCUGCAGCGACGCAAUAAUAAUGAGCUGGACAGCCAAUUUUCACGCUGGAAUAAAGAGCAAGUGUGCGAGUGGUUACAUGAACAGGGGCUUGGGUUGUAUAUACACCAAGCACAGCAAUGGAUCCGCUCAGGAGAAACUUUAUUGAAAGCAUCUCAGCAUGACUUGGAAAAGGAAUUGGGCAUCAGGCACCCUUUACACAGAAAGAAACUGCUGCUGGCCCUUCAGGCGCUGGGGUUAGAAGAUGAAGAUGCAUUGGGAAAACUGGAUUACAACUGGGUUACUCGAUGGCUGGAUGACAUUGGUCUGCCUCAGUAUAAGUCUCACUUCGAUGAGGGCCGGGUGGAUGGACGCAUGCUUCACUACAUGACUGUGGAUGAUCUGCUUGGUCUAAAAGUAGGCAGUGUGCUCCACCACCUCAGUAUUAAGAGCGCCAUCCAGGUUCUACGCAUCAACCACUACGACCCCGACUGUCUCCGCCGCAGACCGACCGAGAUUAACCCCACACCGGCUGAAAUAUGUCAGUGGACCAAUCACAGGGUGAUGGAGUGGCUUCGCUCGGUCGAUCUGGCCGAAUACGCACCCAACUUGAGAGGAAGCGGAGUCCACGGAGGACUAAUGGUUUUGGAGUCUCGCUUCAAUGUUGAAACAAUUGCUUUGCUUCUCAACAUUCCGCAAAAUAAAACACUGUUGAGACGUCACCUCGCGACCCACUUCCAUCUUUUGAUCGGUUCAGAUUCUCAGAGACAAAAGCAGCAAUAUCUAGAGAAUCCAGAUUACAUGCUCCUCACGGCAACAGCCAAAGUGAAGCCAAGACGUUUGUCAUUUGGAGGUUUUGGGACAUUGAGGCGAAAACGUCAGGAGGAUGCAGAAGACUAUAUUUGUCCCAUGAAUGUUGAGAGGCCCAUGAGUACCAGCUUUCACAAAGACAUUCACAAAUCUGAAGACGGCUUUGAUCAACUAGAGCCGAUUGAGGAAUCUGAGGGGACUGUGCGACAGAUAGGUGCUUUCUCAGAAGGAAUCAAUAGCCUGACAAGCAUGCUGAAAGAGGAUGAAUUUUUGAGGGGCUAUUCCUCCCGUUUUUCAGAGACAAAUGCCAAAGAUGACGAUUGAAAUGUUAACUACUAUAUGAACUGGAAGCUGUAAAGUGUCUUAAUGGAAUUAGAGUCAACAGUGACUUAUCUGCCAAGAUAGAUGGGAACCUUGUGGUACGACCCUACACCCCUGUGUCUAGUGAUGAUGACAAAGGCUUUGUUGAUCUGGUCUUGAAGGUAUAAAAGCAAAAAGAAGACUGACUGAUUUCUAACCAUUGGAGAGCAUGGAGGCUUCACUUAAUGUUUUCUAAGGGUUCUGAUUUCAUGUUCUGUGUCUGGACCCACUUUGAGAAUAGAUCCUUUAAGCGGACAUACAACUCCAUCUGUGAUUCAUCCACAGGUGUGUUCGGUGUUCGAAAUCUCAGUCUGUAUUUUUCGGUGUUGAUUUCAUAUUUGUGGAGAUUGGCUUCUUUAACACUUUUGUAGUCAGAUGUGUAGGCAGGUAAAAUGGCAAAAAUGCAGCUCUUGCCUUGCCAGUGAGUAGGGGAACUAGAUGAAUAUCCCAGUCUUCCCUCAUCCACUUGUACACUUCCGCCAGUCCCUUCAAAGUAGUGAGACAAUUUUCAAUAUCAUCAGUGUCUUGCAACUUAGAUAAUUGAGGCAUAUGGUCAGAAAACUGUAGUUACUGACCGUUCAGAGGAAGAAGCACAUUGUCGGUUCUGCUCCAUAUAAACUUCAGCUGCUAACUGGUUCUGUCACUCACCGGAAACUUGACACAAAGCUCUAAUACUUCUAUCAUGAAAUGAUGGUAUUCAGGUUACAACUUACUAAGCAGCACACACGCAUAUAAACAAGCAAUUUAUUUUUUUGGUAUGAUGGUUGUGACCCUGAUGAUGUCACAUCUAAAAUGGCUGUAAGUGUUGUAUGCAAAUCCCAGAUUGUGUAUUGAACUGGUUUAAAUCUGCAAAAUGGAAACUGGUGAAGGCAUGUAAUCUAUGCGGUUGUAUUUCAAAUAAAUGGUGGUAGAU